rnacentral:rRNA from 1 species
GGUACAACUCUCGGCAAUGAAUAUCUUGGCUCUUGCAUCGACGAAGAAUGUAGCAAAAUGUGAUAUGUGGUGUGAAUUGCAGAAUCUCAAGAACCAUCGAGUCUUUGAAUGCAAGUUGCACCCGAGGCCAUUCAGUCGAGGGCAUGCCUGCUUGGGCGUCAUGC